UGAUGGGGGGGUUGGAUCCCACGGAAGCGUGAGGUCGUGACCUGAGCUGAAAUCAAGAGUUGGAGGCUCAACUAACUGAGCCACCCAGGCACCUCUCCUUUUCUUCUGAGACCUCCAUCUGUUGUUAUGGUCCCACAUGUCCCUGGGGCUGUUUUCUUUUGAUUUUUUAACAUCUGUUUUCUCUCAAUCAUUCAGACAGGAAAAUUACUGUCCUUCUGUCUUCAAGCUCUCUGAUUUUUUUUUAUGUCUAUUUUCUCUCGAUCAUUCAGACAGGAAAAUUACUGUCCUUCUGUCUUCAAGUUUCUUCUCUCCUUCCAGUUCUGCUGUCAAACCCAUCUGUUCAGUUUUCCAUUUUGGUUCUUGUUUCAUUGAUAACAUUUCCAUUUGGUUCUUUUUUAUAUCUUACAUUUCUUUGCUGUAGUGUUCUGUCGUUUUAUUGAAACGUCCUGUAUUCUUGGUAUCAUGUGUAAUUUUUUACCAAAACCAGGACAUUUGGGACUAUCAUGCUAUAAAAUUAAAUCCUUCUCUGAUACUACUAUGGUGAAUGAAGGGAGGGAGGGGGAUGCCACCUCACUUCUGCCAGGUGGGUGGGCUUAGAAAGUCUAGCUUUUCUACUAGGCUCCAUUGACACCUGGAGGUUGGAAGGAAAAGUCCCUUGUCACUGCUGGGUGGGGGUGGGAGUUGAGGUUCCCAUUAGGUAUUCUUUAACUCUAUCUCAGCAAAAAUGGAGUAGAACACCAUUCCUGCUUCCCAUGAGCACCCAGUGAUCUCCACUGACAUCACAAUGGGUAGGGGAGUGUCUUGUUACCACUAAGUGGCAGUGAACAUUCAGACUCUCCACUAGACCUCUUCUGACACCACCUGGCAGGGUUAUUAGGGUAUCUCGCUCUAACCUGGCAGUGAUGGAAAUCGGGCUUCCCCACCUGUUCUUCGCUGCAGGGUUCCAGCGGGGAUCCCAGAAGAUGCUGUACGUCUCCUACGUCAGUCUCAGGAAGCAGUCCAAUAUUGGUACCUAGGAAAAUACAACGCCCUUGUAUACAAGGAAACAAUAAACAAAUGAUGCAAAGUAUUGAUGUUGUUUGAUACAGACUUUAUUAAAAUGUAUAAUGUAGGUAGUAAAAAGGUGAACGUAUAAAGCCACAAGGCCCAAUAGAUGCUUUUCAUUUCCAGCUGUCACAUU